UUUUUUUUUUUGUUAAAUUAUUGAUUGACCGAAAAGUAUGUUGUGAUAAAGCACCAUAAGGCGUAAUAAGGCACUGGAAGAAGAUUUAAGGGAAGCCCUUCUCCGUUACCCAUAUUUUUUUCUUCCACUGCGCAUCACUUUGAUUCUUGCUCUUAGAUAAAAAUUUCUACUCGGAUAUCAUUCCUAAUAUUAUUAAGAAUCGAAUUUUAAAAAUAUCAAAAAUAAUAUUUACAAAAUGUGUUGUGUCCAUAUAAGAAUUAAAAAGAAAUUAUAAAUCUUAAAUGAAUAAAUAAUCAUAUUUAAAUCCAAUCAAGUUGUUCUUUCUUUAGUUUCACUUUUCACGAACACUUGAGCACAUGAAACUUAUGUGACGAUCUUUAUUUUAAAAGGAGUAUAAACCUUACUAUUUGGUAGUAACUAAUCAAUUUUAAUAGUUCACCUCUAUUAAGUUAGCUAAAUAUUAUCCUUAGAAACUUUUUAUCAAUGAAUAUAUUAAUCUUUUGACCUUCAUUAAAUACACGUUUUACACACGUAAACUUGACUAGUAAUAAAUAAUAUAAUAAAUAAUAUGAUAAAUUGUUAUUACUAGACUAGACACAAAGAGCCCGUGUAAGCAUGGACCCAACAUAUAUUUUUUUGUCUCAAUUUAUAUAAUAGGAAUAUAUUUUGAAGAGUCAAUCAAAUUGUUUAUAUGAUUUUUAAAUAUUUUAAGUUAUUAAUUAUGGUGAUAUUUUACACUUUUUAUAUAAAUUUUAAAUAAUAUAUAUUACUCUCGUCAUUUCAAUUUAUGUGGCACUAAUGAAACUUGAAGAGUCAGCCCAAUCUAUAUUACUUCUUUUGUCUCAUUUUAUGUGACCAUACGAAAUUUAGGGAAUCAAUUAAUUUUUUUCUAUCAUCUUUAAUAUUUUAAGUUUUUAAUUAUUAUGAUUUGUGGUAAGUUUUACAUAAUUAUAAUAUACUACAUAUGCUCGUUGUCUCAUUUUAGGUUAUAUUGAUGGAACUUGAAGAGUCAUUCAAAUUUUGUAUGUAUUUUUUUUCUUAGAUAUUUGCCUCAAUCAUGGCAUUUGGUUGAUUGUCGAAAUUAUAUAGUGUCACUUAAAUUGAAAUAGAAGAAAAAAUAUUUUAAAUUACAAUAAUUUAAAAAAUUAAAUUAUUUUUAAAAUAUAAUUGUCUAUCCAUGCUACAAAAAUUUGGACAAAGACAGUAGCAUAUAUUAUUUGAAAUUUAUAUAAAAAGUAUUACAAAUUACAAUCGUUAACAAAAACAUAUUAAAAAUAUGAUUGAUUAUCUUUCUGUCACAUAAGUUACCGUCAAUUCUUUGAAUCACAUUCUUUCAAGAGUCAGAAAAUUGAGACCAAAAAAAUAAUAUAUAUUGCACGGACGCUCGAUAUCUUGUAGAUUCAUAAGACUGAUAGCAUUCAAGGAGUGAGUUCAAGUUGAGAUAUCAUCAAAAGUGAUUUCAAGUUUACAUAUCAUCAAAAGAAAGGAUACCUGUUGACAUUCACUUUUGACCUCCCGAUAUUCCUUCUAGGUUGAUACUUUAUUAAAUUUAAUGUUAAUAUUUCUUUACAUAUUAUCUUGUAUCAAAUGAAUAUAGGUGUCGCAUUCAUGAUUCUAAUAUAUGCAAUUUUUUUUAGUAAACUGUAUUCCAUUUCACCAAAAUAUAGCCUUUACAAACCUCGGUGAUUGCUGAUCAAUCACCUCUCAUAUUUAUAAGUACCUAAGCAUAUACAUACAUUUGAAAGUAAAUACAACACCUACACUCUAUUUAUACAUCAAGGAUAGGAAUUUAAAGACUUCAGGUAUUUGUACCAUCUAACUACAUGGUUUUCCUUUGUAUGUAUAUGUAAUGCAAUGUCUCUAUAAAUUCUUUUACUAGAGUAGGUGCCUUUCUGAAAUCUGAGAGUGUUCCUGGCUCUCCAUAUUAAGUAGAUCAUCAUGCUGAAUACAGUUGCAGCAAUUUCCCAAAAAAUUAAAUUUUGCUUCAUGCCUAUCACCAUCAAGUCAACCUCAACAUUCCAGCUUCUAAUUCUUCUAUUUUGACCAUCGAAGCAGCCUGCUCCAAAUGCCCUUUGUAAUACCACAAUCAAAGAAUAAAUGGUCAAACGGUUCAUCAGCUAGCCCACAAAUCACACAUGUUUUAGGAACCUGAAUACCAAUUUUCAUCAACCUAUCAACUAUUGUCGAUCUUUGUUGCAAAGCUAGCCAUAAAUUAAAUUUAUGACUUGCAUGCAUAUGAGGCUAUAAGAUUAGCUUCUUCCAGGUUACUUUAGGGUGCUGAGGUAUCUGCAAAAAGUAGAGUUUUUUAAUACUAAAUUUAUCUCCUUUCUGCACCUGCUUCAGCCUGCUUAGCAUAUCACCCUGCAACUGUUGUAUCUUAGUUACCAGCUUUCUGGUAUUCAGAAUUUUCCUAACUACCCAAGAAACAUUCUUGGGUAUAGGAAUAUGUUCAAGAUCCUGCUGUUUAUGUAGAAACUGUGAAUACAUUUAAUCCAUAAAUAGUCAUUCUUCAUUGCUAGAGCCCAGAGAUGCUUUGUGAUAGCAGCCUUAUUUCGUAGUAUUAAAUGGAUCACAUUUAGACCACCUGUAACUUGUGGAAGGCACACUUUUGCCCAAGAGACAAGUGCCUUUUUGGAUAUCUCAGCUUGGCCAGUCCAUAAGUAAGAUUUGCAUAUAGCCUCAAUACAUUUCAGCAUCUUCUUUGGGAUAAAAAAAACCCGAGCCCAAUAUGAUUGCAUACCGAAAGUUACAGCCUUGAUUAAUUGGAGUCUACCUGUAUAGGUCAGGAGUCUAGCAAACCAACAUGUUAUUCUGGGAGUAAUAUUUUCCACCAAAGGCCAACAUAAGACAAUAGAUAACUUCCUAGAAGCUAUAGGAACUCCCAAGUAUUUAAAGGGAAAAGUUUUAGUACAAUAGCCUAUAUCUUCUAGGAUAUCCUUUUUAAGAUUAUCAGAAAUGCCAGCUAGGAAUAGGAAACUAUUAUCCACAUUCACCUGCAGUACAGAGACUUGAGAGAACUUCCUGAAUGUCUGGCUUAAUAACCUAAUGGACCCCAUCUCUACCUUACAGAACAUCAGAAGAUCAUCAACAAAGCAUACAUGUAUUGCCCCCACUUUCUUGCAUCAAGAUGAAAUCAAAAUUUCUAAUUCCUAGCCAGCUGUUUUAGUACCCUAUUCAGGUAUUCCAUUGUAAGCACAAACAAGUUCGGGGACAUUAGAUCACCCUGCCUAAUGCCUCUCUUACCUUUGAAUGGCUUAGACAGACCACCAUUCAUGGUUAAGGAAUAAGAGACUGUGGUGAUGCAAGACAUUAUCCAACCCACAAAUUUACUAGGAAACCCCAUCUCCACAAGUAAUCUUUUUAGGAAAGCCCAAAUUAAAGAGUCAUAAGCUUUCCUAAUGUCUACUUUAAGAACACAUCUUAGGGAAAUACCCUUCCUGUUAUAGCCUUUAAGAAGUUCAUGGGCAAACAAAAUACUGUCAGUGAUACAUCUUCCCUCAAUGAAAGCACACUGCACAUCACAUAUCAAGACAUCUAUGACACUCUUCAGCCUACCAGUUAACAUUUUGGUGAUUAUCUUGUAUACAGUGGUGCAACAAUCUAUAGAUCUAUAAUCUUUAACAUGUGUAGGGGAAGGCACUUUAGGGAACCAAAUCACAACAGUAUAAUUAACACUUGUAUCCAUCUCACUAGUGUUGAAAAAAUAGAAAACAACAUUCAAAAGAUCAUAUUGUACCUCAUCCCAGCAUGUGGAAAAGAACUCAAUAGGGAAUCUAUCAACUCUCAGAGCCUUUUCCCUUGGAAUAACUUUGGUUGCUACCUGUAUUUCCUCAGCUGUAACCUACUGGAUUAGGAGUGUCUGUUGUUCCCUAGAUAAGCAAUAGCCCUCCUGGACUAUCUCAGCAUUAGGACAAGGAUGCACUCCCUCUCAUGUCCUAUAAGGUUGGAAAGAAAUAAGAUGAAUUCAACUUCAAUAUCAACAGGAUCAGUCAGUUUAGUACCAACUUCAGCAUGUAUCGAAGUGAUGGCAUUGAUACUAGAUCUGAUUUUCCAUUAAGCAUGAAAAUAUCUAGUGUUUGAUUCACCACUUUGAAUCUAUAAGGCCAUAGCUUUUUGUCUAAACACUUGCUCCUCUAUAGUACUCCAUUUCUCCACUUCCGCCAGAGCAACCUUUUCCUGACCAAAGAGUUGAGAAUUGCAGGGGUUUACCGCAAUACCUGCUUGUACAACCUCUAAUGUCUUCCAACCUCUAGUUUCUGCUGAUAUGAUGCUAAAUACAUGUUCAGGUCCUUAUUAG
rnacentral:lncRNA from 1 species